rnacentral:rRNA from 1 species
UACGGAGGGUGCGAGCGUUAAUCGGAAUUACUGGGCGUAAAGCGCACGCAGGCGGUUUGUUAAGCUAGAUGUGAAAGCCCCGGGCUCAACCUGGGAUGGUCAUUUAGAACUGGCAAACUAGAGUCUUGGAGAGGGGAGUGGAAUUCCAGGUGUAGCGGUGAAAUGCGUAGAUAUCUGGAGGAACAUCAGUGGCGAAGGCGACUCCCUGGCCAAAGACUGACGCUCAUGUGCGAAAGUGUGGGUAGCGAACAGG